UACGUAGGGUGCAAGCGUUAAUCGGAAUUACUGGGCGUAAAGCGUGCGCAGGCGGUUUUGUAAGUCUGACGUGAAAUCCCCGGGCUCAACCUGGGAAUUGCGUUGGAGACUGCAAGGCUAGAAUCUGGCAGAGGGGGGUAGAAUUCCACGUGUAGCAGUGAAAUGCGUAGAGAUGUGGAGGAACACCGAUGGCGAAGGCAGCCCCCUGGGUCAAGAUUGACGCUCAUGCACGAAAGCGUGGGGUGCAAACAGG
rnacentral:rRNA from 1 species